UCCAGACUCCUACGGGAGGCAGCAGUGGGGAAUAUUGCACAAUGGGGGAAACCCUGAUGCAGCGACGCCGCGUGAGCGAUGAAGUAUUUCGGUAUGUAAAGCUCUAUCAGCAGGGAAGAAGAUGACGGUACCUGACUAAGAAGCCCCGGCUAACUACGUGCCAGCAGCCGCGGUAAUACGUAGGGGGCAAGCGUUAUCCGGAUUUACUGGGUGUAAAGGGAGCGUAGACGGCGAUGCAAGCCAGAUGUGAAAGCCCGGGGCUCAACCCCGGGACUGCAUUUGGAACUGUGUGGCUGGAGUGUCGGAGAGGCAGGCGGAAUUCCCGGUGUAGCGGUGAAAUGCGUAGAGAUCGGGAGGAACACCAGUGGCGAAGGCGGCCUGCUGGGCUUUAACUGACGCUGAAGCACGAAAGCGUGGGUAGCAAACAGGAUUAGAUACCCGGGUAC
rnacentral:rRNA from 1 species